AGGUCCAGACCCGUCAAGCCCGGGGGCUGGAUGCUUGCCGUUGAACAACAACGUCGGCAGGAGGACCAGGGAGAUCAACGCCACAUCGCCACGGAGCCGGGUGACAAAAACCCUAAUCCGUCAAGCCCAGCGUCAAGAUGGACGACGAGCGCUACGGACAUCACCGUCGCCAUAAACAGUCUAAGUAUCUCUUUGCUGUGCAUGUCACUUGCAUCAAUAGACCAGUGCAAAAGGUCUUCUACAUUUCAUUUUCUCCCAGACAAAAACGAGGUUGUUCAACCUGAACUUCGUUACCUACCGCAAGGCCGUCACAGCCAGGGCGGCUGAGGCAGCCCCACUUUUUGGCUUUUUUUAGAACACUGCAAGCAACAAAAUGCGAUGAUCGCAGCUCAGCGCAAACGUAGCAAAUAAUGAAAAAUCCUUGUCCCCGACCGUGGUUUGCUGCAGCAUCAAACGUCUGUCAUGGCAGUUACAC